rnacentral:rRNA from 1 species
GACGUAGGGCGCGAGCGUUGUCCGGAUUUAUUGGGCGUAAGAGCUCGUAGGCGGCUUGUUGCGUCGACCGUGAAAACCCGUGGCUUAACUGCGGGCUUGCGGUCGAUACGGGCGGGCUGGAGUUCGGUAGGGGAGACUGGAAUUCCUGGUGUAGCGGUGAAAUGCGCAGAUAUCAGGAGGAACACCGGUGGCGAAGGCGGGUCUCUGGACAGUUCCUGACGCUGAGGCACGAAGGCCAGGGGAGCAAACGGGG